GGGCUCUCCCAGCAGAGGGCGCUGUGGGGGGGGCCACUGGGCUCUCCCAGCAGAGGGUGCUGUGGGGAGGAGGGCGGGGCACUGGCUGUGUGGGGAGCACUGGGCUGUAUAGGGCCCUAUCAGAUUCAUCCCCCAUUUUCGUCAAUUUCAGUCACAGUUUAAAAAUUGUAAAUUUCAUGAUUUCAGCUUUUUACAUCUGAACUUAGGGGUGCUGAUUGUCAGGUCCUGACCCAAAAAGGAGUCAUGGAGGGGGCAGGCCUGCGGUAUUGCUGCCUGCGGAGCUGGCCCCAGUCAGCAGCCGCCGCUCGCUGGCCACCCAGCUGUGAAGGCAGCAGCGCAGUCCCCCUCACAUAACCUUGUAACCCCCUCCCCCGUUUGAGACACGUUGUGAAAUCUACUGCAUGGGGGAGAGGCACACAAAAGUCCAGUGUUCGCGAUCUGUGACGCACUUCUCAUGGCCGGGAAUUUAGCAGGGCCCCACUCCUGUGCUUGCUGCCCUGGGGCUGGCGGUGGAGCCGGUCCCUGUUAGCUAGCGGCGCCCGUUCACCGCUGCCCCUCUCUCCUGGUACAGCAAGCGUUCAAUGCCACCGCCGUGGUGAGACACAUGAGGAAGCUGCAGCUUGGAACCAGUCAGGAAGGACCCGGGCAAACCAUUCCAACCAGUCCCUGCGAGCUGCUGGAGGCUGGCGCCAGCCACGGGGCAGACUCCAGGGGCUGCGAGAGGUCGCUGGGGCCCAGCUGUCACCGCCCCCCCCAGGACUGACAGCACCCAGCAUGGCCCUGCCUCGCCAGCACUGCCCCACAGGGACGAGCUGCGUGGGGUGGGGGCGCUGGCUGCCACUGGAGGCACCAAGAGCUGGUGUCAUUGCUGCAGCUGAUCCAAGCCAGGUGGCAGGGCACAGCAGAGAGCUGGCCUGGGACUGAGCCUCCGGGGGAGACAGCAACAGCAGCUGGCGCUUGGGGCCUGGCCGCCCCACCUGCAGGGUGCAGGCUAGGAAUCCAGCAUUUCCCCUGGGGCAGAGCCAAGGCCCAGCCUCCCUGGGGGCCACGCCUGGGCUAGGCCACUGACCCUCCCCCGNUGGCCGCCCCACCUGCAGGGUGCAGGCUAGGAAUCCAGCAUUUCCCCUGGGGCAGAGCCAAGGCCCAGCCUCCCUGGGGGCCACGCCUGGGCUAGGCCACUGACCCUCCCCCGUGCUGGGGCCUGCAUGUACUUGCUCAUGCCACUGCAGCCCCCUUCCCCCCCACUGCACAGGCGGGAGCUCAGGUACUGCGCUCUGGCCAGAUCCCCAGCAAGGCCGGGGCUCGGGGUCGGUGCAGCCAAGCUGCAGGGUGACGGGCUGUGGAAUAAGGGGCUGAUUCACCUAGCUGCAGUCCCCACUUUUAGCCCCCGUACCUUCCCCCCCCCAUGGCCCCAGCCCCUCCCU
rnacentral:lncRNA from 1 species